GUGGGGAAUAUUGCACAAUGGGCGAAAGCCUGAUGCAGCAACGCCGCGUGAGUGAUGAAGGUCUUCGGAUUGUAAAGCUCUGUCUUCUGGGACGAUAAUGACGGUACCAGAGGAGGAAGCCACGGCUAACUACGUGCCAGCAGCCGCGGUAAUACGUAGGUGGCGAGCGUUGUCCGGAAUUACUGGGCGUAAAGGAUGCGUAGGCGGAUAUCUAAGUCAGAUGUGAAACCCCCAGGCUUAACUUGGGGACUGCAUUUGAAACUGGAUGUCUAGAGUGCAGGAGAGGUAAGUGGAAUUCCUAGUGUAGCGGUGAAAUGCGUAGAGAUUAGGAAGAACAUCAGUGGCGAAGGCGGCUUACUGGACUGUAACUGACGCUGAGGCAUGAAAGCGUGGGUAGCAAACAGGAUUAGAAACCCCUGUAGUCC
rnacentral:rRNA from 1 species